UUCUGAAAAUGUAGCAGUGGUGACUGGUUCUAACCGAGAUAUUGGACUCAAGAUCGCAAGACAGCUUGCUAGCCAUGGAUUGACUGUUGUUCUUACAGCUAGAAACGUGGAUGCUGGUCUUGAAGGCUUGAAGCAGUUACAUCCUUGAGUCUCCAAGAAGGUCUCAAGGUUGAUUUCCAUCAGCUUGAUGUCACGGUUUUAAUUGCACACUUUCUUGUGUCUGCAGGAGAUGCGGACGAGUCAAGCUGCCACAUUUCUUCUGUUGCAGCGGUGAGCGGGUAAACCCCCAGUGAGCAAGGCCACUAGAACUGUUGAUUAAGAUCCCUUAUAUGAUUACUCCUUGUCGGAUAUCCAGAGGGAUAUUAGAUUUUGGGUUUGCCACUGUGUUGAUGACUCAGGGCAAGAAUUUGAAGCUUACUGGAUCUUUAGGGAACAGAGCUUCUGAGUAUCUUCUUGAUGGUUAAUAAGUUUAUAUAUGUAGCAGAAUGAUUCUCACACUAUAGAGUUUUUCAGGUUUGGGAUCUUUAAGGUUUUUGUUUCUGUCUUUUACAGGGUAAGUAACAGACAAGAAUGAUGUCUACUCUUUUGGAUUUGUUUCUGUCUUGUAUGCUCAUGUCAUCAAACGUUCCAUCUUAUUAGAUUUGUUUCUGUCUUGUA